AAUACAAUAGUAAAUGAUAUAUUUGAAAAAUAAAACUGACCUCGUACUUUCAUUUCUUUCAAUUGGGCAACUUAAUUCGUUAUUAAAUUAUUGGUUUGCUUUCUACAGAAUGAAUCAGUGAUACAAAUAAACAGUCAGAUAUCAAUCCCAGGCACAUACCAGCAAUAUUGGAUGAGUGUAACUGCUUUGCUAAAUACAAAUGAUGGGCACGAGUGCAGGAUGACGUCAUGUCUCCUCACAGAGGGCUGAGUCCUUGUAGCACAUGGCUCUCCUCACACGUUCAUCUCCAAGGAUCCCUUAGGAAGCCCAUUUCAGAAAGAAAUAUUUCAUUGCUUGCUGGAUUGAUUUGUGAUGCCAAGGAUUAAAUUCAGGGCCUCAUGUAUGUUAGGUGUAUUUAUCUACUUGACUAAAUCCUGUUUUGAACUACUCAAAACCUGAAGGCUUCUGUUUAGUUCACAGGCCUGGAGACAGUUUCCAGACUUCCUGUGCGGAAGGGAGAGCCAAGAAGACAGGCUGUCCUACUGAGAGGAGGAUUUUGAGACUGGCAGACGGAGCUGGGAUUUGUGAGGCCAAGCCUGAGAGAAGAGAAUAGCUCUGAUGGAGACUGUGAGGAUUUGCAGGGCACUCUGAGUCUUUCUCAGGUUAUUAGUCUGCCCAGGCAUGAGAGGAAACUACCUGAGACUCAGUUCAGAAGCUACUGGAAAUCAGUAUGCAGACAAAUCCCCGGACUUCACACAUGACCAGAAAUGGCUUGUGUUCAUACCAGCCUGAGUGGACCUGAACAGAAUCCUAGGAAGUAGGGCAAAGUUGGCCCUAAAGACUGACUGGAUUUAUGUAACGAAGUUCAAAAGCAGGUCUCAGAAUGGUCCACUUGGCUUCAAAUUACUCAAAUUGGUACUUAAUAAUACAAUCAAAUUAUUCAGAGGAUUAUAAGAAAGUCAACAACAAAUGUAAGACCACAAUGUCCUCCUAAAAAUGUAAAAGAAUUAAUAAAUGCAAACAGAUGGAAACGAUGGUACUAGAUACGAGGAUGCUAACUGAACUGGGACAAAUAGGCGUUGUAUGUUUGAGAACACUUUGAAGCUUGGACACUGUCACAAGAGAAAUGGAAGCCAUAAAAAAAUUACCUGUGAUGGCUAAUCUUUGCCAGCCUGACUGGAAUGAGAGCCACCUUGGAAACAGAUGUGUGGGCAGGUCUGUGAAGGUAUUUCCAGAGAGUGUUAACUGAGAAGACCCACCCUGAAUGGGUAGUCCCACCCUAGGGGCUGCAGUGCUGACUGAAUAAAAGGGAGGAAGCCAGCUGAAUGGCAGCAUUCUGUCUCUGCUUUCUGACUUCCAACACAAUGUGACCAGAGCUGCCUUGGGGUGCUACCGUGACUUGGUACCCUGCCAUGAUGAAAUCUAUCUCUUCUUAAAUCAUGAACCCAAAUCAACCCUUUCCUCCUGUAGCUGCAUUUGUCAAGGACUUUGUCCCAGCAAAGAGAAGAUUAACUACUAUAGUUCUCAAAUAAAUAGAAACUCAAUGACUGAAAUGCACUAAGCUGGGGUGAUAGUUCAUUUUGAUGGCCAACUUGAUUAGAUCGGAAAUCAACUAGGAGACAUGACUCUGUAUGUGAAGGCAUUUCCAGGAGAGGUUAAGGGAGCUGAGGCAAGACCCUCCCACAGAAUAGCUAAAACUUUCCAGCAGCAACCCAAAUAUGAAGAGGUCCAAGAGAAAAGCAUUGCUUACCCGCAAGCACGCCGUCUUCUUGAUGAAUGGGGCUAUCCAUUUUUGUUGCUGCUUCCAUUUUGCCCCCUCCCAGUAGAACCUGGUGUUUUCUGCCUACAAAGUGGACUGAAGACCAGGGAAUCUCCAGGAGUUCUUUGAGUCACCUGCACCAGCCUCAUGGGCUCAUCAGCCACUGGGUUCUCAACCUCUCCAUUACGCAGAUAGCGGUGGUUGGGCUAGUACAUGGGUAUUGUAUAAGCCAAUCUAAUAAAAACCCCUUAGUAAUAAACCUAUUAUUUAUUAUCAGUUCCGUUUCUCCAGAGAACCCCAACUAAUCCAGUAAGGUGACCAGUCAGUUGGCCAUUAAAGACUAAGUGAUCAGUAAAUUUUAAGGCAGAAGUAAGAAAUACUAAAGUGAACAACUCAGAGAGAUCCGCUGAAGGAAAUAACUGGUCGCCAGUGGUUUAUUACCCACCAUUAAAUUGUCUCAUAUACUUUUAAUUAACAGAAAGAGGGGCAAGGAUAAAAGUAGAGGAAAUACUGAUCAAAAAAUUUCUAAUUAGAUGAAAACCAGAAACCCACAAUUUCAAGAAAUUCAAUUAAUAUAGGAGAUAAAAUAUGAAGAAAUUGGGAUGAAACAAAUUACUGAAAACCACCAAUAAUAAAACCUUAAAACCAGAAAUACUAUAUACGUAUGCACAGAGGAACCGUUAAGAGUGACAGAAGAAUUCUUAUCAGAUACUAGACAAGUCAGAAGGCCACAGAGAGAUACUUCUAGUGUACUAAAAGAAACUUUUCACCUAGAAUUUAUUUUUAACCAGUCAAAAUGAGAUAUGGAAAAAAGAGACAGAUACACUGUUUAAAUAUGAAAUGUCCCCCAUAAAAAUUAAUGUCUUUGAUCACGUGGUCCCCAGCUGAUGGUUCUGUUUGGAAAGAGUGGAGACCCUUCAAGAAGUGAAACUUGUUGGAAAAAGUGGAUCCCUGGGGAUAGGCUUUGGGGCUUUUUAGCCUGGCCACAUUUCCUGCUCCUUUGAGCAUGUCCUCCCCGCCACAGUGGUCCCUAUCCCUCCGGAAUUAUGAGUCUAAACAAGCUCUUUCUUACAUUGUUUUUAUCUAGUUCCUUUAUCACAGAAAAGGAAUAGAAACCAGUACAGGAAUUGGUGCUGAGAAAUGUGGUUGAUAUAUUGUGCAUCCCAAUAAACUUAUCUGGGGUCGGAGAAUAGAACAGCCACUAGGUAGACAGACAUAGACCCAGGCAUGGUGGCACACACCUUGAAUCUCAGGACUUGA